rnacentral:rRNA from 1 species
UACGUAGGUGGCAAGCGUUAUCCGGAUUUACUGGGUGUAAAGGGCGUGUAGGCGGGACUGCAAGUCAGAUGUGAAACCCAUGGGCUCAACCCAUGGCCUGCAUUUGAAACUGUAGUUCUUGAGUGAUGGAGAGGCAGGCGGAAUUCCGUGUGUAGCGGUGAAAUGCGUAGAUAUACGGAGGAACACCAGUGGCGAAGGCGGCCUGCUGGACAUUAACUGACGCUGAGGCACGAAAGCGUGGGUAUCAAACAGG